CGGAUGGGCAUGCGGCGCAUUAGCUAGUUGGCGGGGUAACGGCCCACCAAGGCGACGAUGCGUAGGGGUUCUGAGAGGAAGGUCCCCCACACUGGUACUGAGACACGGACCAGACUCCUACGGGAGGCAGCAGUGAGGAAUAUUGGUCAAUGGGCGAGAGCCUGAACCAGUCAAGUCGCGUGAGGGAGUACUGCCCUAUGGGUUGUAAACCUCUUUUGUCGGGGAGCAAAAGCCGGACGUGUCCGGCUGUGAGAGUACCCGAAGAAAAAGCAUCGGCUAACUCCGUGCCAGCAGCCGCGGUAAUACGGAGGAUGCGAGCGUUAUCCGGAUUUAUUGGGUUUAAAGGGUGCGUAGGCGGCCUGCCAAGUCAGCGGUAAAAUUGCGGGGCUCAACCCCGUACAGCCGUUGAAACUGCCGGGCUCGAGUGGGCGAGAAGUAUGCGGAAUGCGUGGUGUAGCGGUGAAAUGCAUAGAUAUCACGCAGAACCCCGAUUGCGAAGGCAGCAUACCGGCGCCCGACUGACGCUGAGGCACGAAAGUGCGGGGAUCAAACAGGAUUAGAUACCCUGGUAGUCCGCACAGUAAACGAUGAAUGCUAGCUGUCCGGNGGGAUUGACCCCUGGGNGGCACAGCGAAAGCGU
rnacentral:rRNA from 1 species